rfam:Triticum aestivum genome assembly, contig: Triticum_aestivum_CS42_TGACv1_scaffold_031850_1BL
CUACUACUUCCUCCGUCCGGAAAUAAUUGUCGGAGGAAUGGAUGUAUCUAGUCAUACUUCAGUUUUAGAUGCAUCCAUUUUUAUCCAUUUAUGCGACAAGUAUUUUCGGACGGAGGGAGUACUAG